rnacentral:rRNA from 1 species
GACGAACGCUGGCGGCGUGCUUAACACAUGCAAGUCGAACGGAAAGGCCCUGCUUUUGUGGGGUGCUCGAGUGGCGAAAGGGUGAGUAACACGUGAGUAACCUGCCCUUGACUUUGGGAUAACUUCAGGAAACUGGGGCUAAUACCGGAUAGGAGCUCCUGCUGCAUGGUGGGGGUUGGAAAGUUUCGGCGGUUGGGGAUGGACUCGCGGCUUAUCAGCUUGUUGGUGGGGUAGUGGCUUACCAAGGCUUUGACGGGUAGCCGGCCUGAGAGGGUGACCGGCCACAUUGGGACUGAGAUACGGCCCAGACUCCUACGGGAGGCAGCAGUGGGGAAUAUUACACAAUGGGCGGAAGCCUGAUGCAGCAACGCCGCGUGCGGGAUGACGGCCUUCGGGUUGUAAACCGCUUUCGCCUGUGACGAAGCGUGAGUGACGGUAAUGGGUAAAGAAGCACCGGCUAACUACGUG